rnacentral:lncRNA from 1 species
UACAACUUUACAAGUCAGGCUUCACAUCUCCUGUUUCACCUGCUGCUGGGGCUGCAGAGUGCCUCCCAUUCUUCAAUGUCAUUUAACUCUGUAAUUGUGUUACUUAACUCCGGAAAGCUUUGGGAGGCUACAGUUGGGAUGAGAAAACGCUACCCAGAAUAAGCACUCCUGGAAACCUUCAUUCCAAGGGGGGUUAUAUAUGUCACCAUGAGAAGGUGGAACAGGGCUUGGGCAGAGCCUGGAAGGUCCACAGGAGUUUUCCCCAGAUGAGACUCAGCUGCCUGAACAGGAGGGACCAGUGAGAAGGCCUGGUAGGAGAAUGGCCACUGUUGAGCCUGCCACUAAACGCUCUGCUGACUCUGUGGUGAGGAGCCUGGAAGGGGAGCCAGGGCUGCUGCCACGGUACCGACUGCUACAGCGGUGACCUCACACACGCAAGGGAGCCACACUCAGGCCUGGCCAACCUCCUGUGCACCUCUCUUUACACAUCUGGGUGGCUUCUAAUUCAAGAAGGGGUAAAAUGCACAUCUGGAUGUUUUCAUGGAUUUUCAUUCUCAUUUGGAUGAAGAAGAGUCUAGAUUCCUCGUCUGGCACAAACAGCUUAACAGAUUGUGAAAUUCCCAGAGGAGCCAACUCUGCCUGCUGCGAACACCAGGCAAAGCCCAGGGGGAAGACUUGCCUCCCUGCUGGGAGCUGUAAUCGCCCCCCAGGACUUGCCAGCCAUCACCCUAGAGGUCCUAAAGCCCAGGGGAGAGGGACCAGUCUGUCCUAGAUUCAACAGUGAUGCCCUGACAGUGUGCUGGGUGGAUGAACUACCCACCAGAAUCUGACACUAGGCCAGAGAGCCAUCAGAGGGUCCUGGGUUUAAGUCUGCCUCUGGCUAGCUGUGUGAUCCUGGGCAAGUUACUUAGCCUCUCUGAACUUGCUUUCUCAUGAGUAAAGUAUGAAUGGUACCAGUUUCCGCUUCACGGGUUUAUUCUGAGGAUUAAAUGAGCGAAUGGGGCCGGGCGCAGUGGCUCAUGCCUGUGAUCCCAGCACUUUGGGAGGCCGAGCCGGGCGGAUCACGAGGUCAGGAGAUCGAGACCAUCCUGGCUAACAGGGUGAAACCCCGUCUCUACUACAAAUACAAAAAAAUUAGCCAG